rnacentral:tRNA from 1 species
GCCGCGGUGGCGGAACCGGCAGACGCACGGGACUCAAAAUCCCGCGAGAGCAAUCUCAUGAGAGUUCAACUCUCUCCCGCGGCACAA